UAUCUAUUUCAGUAGACAAUGAAGACAUUGAAAUUAUUAAAGAUUGUGUUAACCUUGGUUCAGUCAUCAGUGUAAAUGGAGACUGCAGCCAAGAAACCAAGAGAAGACUGAGACUUGGAAGGGCAGCAAUAAAGAAUUAGGAAAGAUUGGCAAGUGCAGGAAGUGUCAUUAGAGACCAAGGCCAAGGUUAUCCACACCCUCGUAUUCCCAACUACUAUGCACGGAUGAGAAAGCUGCACAGUGAAGAAGGCUGACAGGAAAAAAAGGGACUCACUUGAAAUACAGUGUUGGAGGAGAGCUCUGCAGACACCUGGACCGCCAGAAAGAUGAACGAGUGGGCGCAAGAGCAAAUGAAGCCUGAACUAUCGCUGGAGGCAAAAAUGAUACUGAGGCUGUCCUACUUUGGACACAUCAUGAGAAGGCAGGACUCUCUGGAAAGAACAAUAACGCCGGGAAAAGUAGAAGGCAGCAGGAAAAGGAAGACUAAAUGUAAGGUGGAUUGACUCCAUCGAGGCAGCCAUAGGCAUCAGUCUACAGGAGCUGAGAGGCUGCUGUUUCUUCUGAAAUCUUCCGGGGGGUGAAGGUCAGAAGGUGAGCCACAGAACCGCUGUUCCCUCGUUUCGGACUUCUCCAAUUUUAAGGAACCUGAUGCAUGUUAGUAUGAUGAAGAGUACCUUUUCUAAUCUGCUCCUCAGACGCCGUUGGAAAUGAAGAAUGAAUAAGUAAUGUUUUCAAAGCCCGUGGGAAAUCAUGAGGCUACAGAUUCUAUCUUCUGAACUAACAGUCUGGAGAGGAAUAGUUCCAGCAAACUCUUUGGUGCACGAAGCGCGGCCCGUUUAACAGGAGCCAGGAGACAUCUCGGUGCUGUUUCUGAGAAAGCAGGGUGGGUCCCCACCUUUAAUGGAAGGGAAACGAAGUUGCCUACAGUGUCAGCCUUGGGCAGGAGGAUUUACAGUGUGCCUGGAUUUGUUACAUUUUUUUCUUUUAAAACGACAUCCCCAUGAAAGUCUCCUUUUGGGAGUUUGGGAGUUGCGCCUGGUGGACGCAACUACUCUGAUAAAUAGAUUUUAAGACAAAAUGCAUUAGUAGGCAUAAAGAAGGUCAUUUCAUAACCUACCACAGACAAUUCACCAUGUGCGUGUACGGAAUAAUAUGCCCUCAAAUAUAUUUAAAGCAGAAAUCGAUUGAUUUAUAAAGAGAAAUUUGAAAAUCCGUAUGUACAGAUUUUUUUUUUUUUAAGAUUUUAUUUUUUCCUUUUUCUCCCCAAAGCCCCCCGGUACAUAGUUGUGUAUUCUUCGUUGUGGGUUCUUCUAGUUGUGGCACGUGGGACGCUGCCUCAGCGUGGUCUGAUGAGCAGUGCCAUGUCCGCGCCCAGGAUUCGAACCAACGAAACACUGGGCCGCCUGCAGCGGAGCGCGCGAACUUAAUCACUCGGCCACAGGGCCAGCCCCUGUAUGUACAGAUUUUUACAAACAUAUCUCUUAGUAAUCGAUAGAGUAAAAGGUCAAAAAUUAGUAAAGAUAUUGAAGGUUUGAACAAUCCAAUUAACUAGCUUGAUCUAGUCUACAGAUAUAUAACCCAACAGCUGAUCGCUUGCUGGACCACGAAGGAAAUCUCCUCCACAAUAGCAAAGACUCAGCAACAUACAGAAUGUGUUCUCUGACCAGAGGCUAAUAAAAUAUGAACUUGAAAAGAAAAAGAUACUUGAAAUUAUAUUUUGGGAAAUUAGAGAGACGGAAAGACACUUCUAAAGACUGUUUGGACAACGCAACAGUCAAAAUAGAAUAAGUUAUGCUGCCGUAAUGCACAGACCUGAAAUCCCUCAAUAUCUUAAAACAAUGGAGGUUUAUUUCCCACUCAGGGUACAUUUCCAGUGUAAUCAGCUGGGAGCUCGGUCCCACAUUUUCCUCACUCUGGGACCUGAUGGAGCUUCCACCACUGGGCAUUACCAGAUAGUACGUAGCUCUUAAAGUUUUCUGCCCCAAAAUGACAGACAUCAUUUCCACUCAUACGAUGUUGUCCAGAGCACGUCUAUUGCCAUGGCUGACUUCAAGAAGGAGGGGCCCUGACCAGAAAGAGGAGAACUGGACACGUCAGUGACCAGCACCAAAGAUGAUCACGAAGAGGAAAUAAUCAAGAAAGCGGGGAAACAUUUACACUUAAAGAAUAAUGAAAAUGUAACAUUAAAACUUGUAGGAUGUAGCUAAAGCGGUAGAGUAAAAUUUACAACCCUAAAUGAUUAUAUUAGAAAGAGGAGACGGACAAUUACAGACCUAACCGUUUAUUCAAGAAAGUAAAGUAUCCUAAAAAUAGCGGAGAAAAGAAAAUAAUUAAGAGAUACAUUGAUGAAACAGUCACAGAAACCAAAACACAAUAUAGAGAAAUGGAAAAAAAUAAAACUGCUGACUGGUCGGGCUCCUUAGAAGCAGACUCUGAGAUGAGGAGAAGUGUGUCCCAGACCUAUUAAUCUACCCUUGAUUAAAAAGUCUGUUCUCUC
ensembl:lncRNA